rnacentral:rRNA from 1 species
ACAGGGGGAUAACACUUAGAAAUAGGUGCUAAUACCGCAUAAGCGCACGGUUCCGCAUGGAACAGUGUGAAAAACUCCGGUGGUAUACGAUGGAUCCGCGUCUGAUUAGCCAGUUGGCGGGGUAACGGCCCACCAAAGCGACGAUCAGUAGCCGGCCUGAGAGGGUGAACGGCCACAUUGGGACUGAGACACGGCCCAAACUCCUACGGGAGGCAGCAGUGGGGAAUAUUGCACAAUGGGGGAAACCCUGAUGCAGCGACGCCGCGUGAGUGAAGAAGUAUCUCGGUACGUAAAGCUCUAUCAGCAGGGAAGAAAAUGACGGUACCUGACUAAGAAGCCCCGGCUAACUACGUGCCAGCAGCCGCGGUAAUACGUAGGGGGCAAGCGUUAUCCGGAUUUACUGGGUGUAAAGGGAGCGUAGACGGCAGCGCAAGUCUGGAGUGAAAUGCCGGGGCCCAACCCCGGAACUGCUUUGGAAACUGUGCAGCUCGAGUGCAGGAGAGGUAAGCGGAAUUCCUAGUGUAGCGGUGAAAUGCGUAGAUAUUAGGAGGAACACCAGUGGCGAAGGCGGCUUACUGGACUGUAACUGACGUUGAGGCUCGAAAGCGUGGGGAGCAAACAGGAUUAGAUACCCUGGUAGUCCACGCCGUAAACGAUGAUUACUAGGUGUCGGGGGGCCAAGGCCCUCCGGUGCCGCCGCAA